AGCCGUGCGAUGAGCACAGAGCGAACUAUUCUUUCGCCUUUUACUAAAGAAUAUUGUGUGCUCGUCGCUUACAGCGGCAUACGCUUAUUUUUUAAGGGAUCCUUUGGAAUUGGUCCC
rfam:Cucumis melo, WGS project CAJI01000000 data, contig: 17810